rnacentral:rRNA from 1 species
CGUAGAUUAGGGCCAGGAGCGGGGGUAAUACGAAGGUGGCAAGCGUUGUGCGGAUGUACUGGGGGUACAGGGAGCGUAGGCGGGUGGAUAAGCCCUCCGUGAAAUCUCGAGGCUUAACCUGGAAAGGGCAGAGGGGACUGUUCAGCUAGAGGAUGGGAGAGGAGCGCGGAAUUCCCGGUGUAGCGGUGAAAUGCGUAGAGAUCGGGAGGAAGGCCGGUGGCGAAGGCGGCGCUCUGGAACAUUUCUGACGCUGAGGCUCGAAAGCGUGGGGAGCAAACAGGAUUAGAUACCCGUGUAGUC